CUCUGAAUGCAUUUGUUAUAGUUCCAGACAAAAGUUACAUCACAAUUGUGAAUGUUUAUGAAAUAGUUAAUAAUACUUUAUGAGUUGAGUGAUAUGUUUAAAACUGAAACAUGUACAGAACUUUCAUCGAAUUUGACCUUCUAGAGCAAUGAUUCCCUGUUGCUAAAUACAGGAUAUCACCAGCUACUACACAAAACCCAGAGUACUGUCAAAUCAAUGGUGUGUCCCCAUCACACAGUUGGCAGUUUUUGUACUGUUUCUUUCAUGCAUAAAUGUUUUAAGACUUCCAAAAUAAGUGCAUAUAAA